UCUGGUUAUAAUAGCAGAGAGGAUACACCUGUUCCCAUUCCGAACAGAAGUUAAGCUCUCUAGCGCUGAUGGUACUGGUGGGAAACUGCCUGGGAGAGUAGGACAUAGCCAGGU
rnacentral:rRNA from 1 species